GAUUAACCUGAUGCACAUUUAUUGAGAGGAAAGCAAUAUUAAGGGUAGAUAAUGAAGUUAAUUAAUGAGGGGAGAAAACACAGGGAAGCCAAGUCAACAGGAUCCAUGCACUGAGUAAGUGCUGCUGUUUCUCCUUCCCCCUUCAUUUGGGGAAAAGCAGCAGAGAAUCUGGAACAAGGACACUAAGAGAAGGUGUGGGACUAAAGCUCUGAGGAGAAGCAGGAUUUUAGAGAGCAUUACACAAUAAUGAAAAGUUUAAUCAAGCUGCUUAGUGCUUGCACUACCCAAACCUGCUGAUGUGCCCUGCCGUGGUCUGGGUGGUACAUACUCCAGAAGGAAUUGCUCCAUGAACACAUUUGGAGUGGUCUCCAAGCUCAGAUCUAUUUGUAACCUACACCUUGGGCAAGGCUGUCCUUAAUCCUCAGGAAACCACAGAAUAAAAUGUUGGCUUUAGGCACACUGGGGACACAGCAACAUGAGCCAUUUGUGUUUCAGAGCGCUUCCUUUUGCUUUAGAGUUUGAAAUGCCACAGGAAACACCAAAACAACCAUUUACUGUCACAGGAAACUUCAAUUUUUCUACCUUGAACUUGUCUAGCUUCCAUUUAGCUUUCUAAUCUAAUUAUUACAAGAUCCAGAGUGCUUCAUUAUGAAGCUACCAAAGUUGGUGAGCAAGCUGCUUCUCAACCUGCUCUCUCUGCUGAAUUAAUUGGAAUGAGUUUCUUAAUCCACCUUGCCUACUGGCACGUGUUUCAGGCUUUAAAUCAUUCUCACAGGUCUUUCGUAAUCCUACUGCAGUUUGUCAAUAUUUCAUUUUUUGGUGGGAUGCAGACACUGGAGCAGGACAAGAGCAGCCUGUUUAACUGCAAACUGAGCACUGUGUGUCUUUUAAGGGAGUUUGCUUUCUCCUAGAUUUACCUAGAGCUCCCUUCAAACAGAGUGAAUUCAUUAUGUGAUGGACAGUUCAGAUCUUUUCCCUCUUCUUUAUUAUCUUGCUUUAGCUGUUUAAAACAAGCCUCCAUUAAGAGAAGCAGAUCAGGAGAUUGAACUCAGUUACAGAGAUGACUGUUUAGCUGGGCUAGCAGCAAUAUUAAAAACAAAAAAAGCAGAAAAUUUAACUUGAAACAAAUGGGAGAGAAAAAAAAUAAACAUGGAACAACCCUUGAACAAAUACUAAAGACAUAAUAAAUUGCUUUCAAGAGUGGGUUACAACUACUUGUACCUCAGUCCCUGCCACUCAGCCUGCCCUGGCCAGGGCUCCAGCACACCCCAUCUGUCUGUGGAGCCCACAGGGAGUGUCCCUGCUCUGGCAGCCAUCACCAGCCUCAGGGGUGACCGAGCACUUGGCCUUUGGCUCCACUCAGCACAUGAACCUGGGACUGUUUCUGCUCCCAGGUCCACACCUCUGCUUAACAGCUUUUUUAUUCUUCCCACGGGCUAUUCCAGACCUGCAGCCUGAGCCUUUGCUGGCAGGGUGUGCAAUGCUCCCAGCCAUGCUGGCCACUGCCCUCUCCCCUCUGCAUUCCUCCUGCCUUGUUAUUGCAGACAGUCUGGCCUGCAGUGAUGCUGAUUCCCUUCUCACCACUGCUCUCCUGCUCGGCUUUGCUGAUGUACCAUUGCUCUGGACACAGCUGCACCUUCUGAAAGCCCUUUGGUUGAACUACCUCAAGGAUUCUUUCUCCAAAUGCUGUGAGGACAUUUCAGUUGGAGAUUCCUCACUGGAAGAGCCUCAGCAGCUCUUGGAGAAGGACCGCACACAGGAUUCCCUGCCCAGGAAUCUGCCCCUUGAAAUCCUCUCCUGCUCAUCCCCUCCCUGGCUCCUUGACAGAGGCUCACAGAGAGGAGGGAGGAUGCCCCACCCUGGUUGGGUGUCUGGCCUGAGGGUGAGAGCUUCCAACAGAAACAUCCCUGGGUUCAGCAUCCCCAGCCAUUCCCUGAAAUUUAGAUUUCCAUGGGGUUUUCUCCUGGGAGCUCUGCCCAGUUCUUCCAGUCUGGAGCAGGAGCUGCCUUGUCUCUAGACAGCUGGAAAACCAAGCUUAACAAUAUCUUACUUUUCCACUGAUAAGGAAUAUGUGCCUGGCUUGGCUGCUCUGAACCAUUCUGCUCCAGCUGGGUUGCUGCAGGAUGGGUGUUUUGAGCCUGCAAUGUCCACUCAAAGUAGGUGGUUGCAUGAUGGUCCCUUGAGAUGCUCAAAGCAUGUCCUGAACUAAAUUCUGCACCAAUUCUGUAGUGGUCAGUGAGUGGCAAUUAGGUUAAAUAUGUUAUGCUCCUAAAUAUGUAGGCACUGUUAUGUGCUACUGUUAUGUUCUAUUAAAUAUCCUUCUCAUUCUGAGCUCUGGAGAGUUUCAAACAUGUAUUUCCUCACAAUAUACCCCAGUUAUUUCUGCCUUAGGUGAAUUACAAUGAGGAAAACCAGAAAAACUUGUGUAUGUUAAAGCUGGCUGCAGUGUGAAAGUAUUUACCUGCUAAAAUCCUCUUCAAAUAGCACUAAAAUGACAGGGCAGAGGGUAUGAAAACAACUGCCUUUACUCUUUUAUCUGAACACUUUGUGAUGAUUACAGGGCACUCCACACAAAGGGCUGUGAUUUAGAAAGGAAAUUGCACUCCAGUGAAGGAUUUACUCAUCUGUGAUGAUAUUUAUAAUCCACUCUCUCCUAGCUAAAGGGAUCAUCCUGCACUUUGGUAGGAAAUGUGAAGAAUUAAGGGGCCAGGGAAUGAGACCUGCAUACAGGAUGCUUUGAGGUGCUGACCACCUCCCAGCUCUGCCUUUGCUCUCUGACUCCAGUGAAGCUUUGCCUCUCUCACUGCUGCUGUUUUCUCCUCUGGAGCAAUGAUGCUGCUCUGCUGAGAUCUGUCUCCAAGGCAGCUGUGGUCUGCAGCCCCAAAGCAAAAGCCAAAGCCCACAGAUACCUCACAGGAACCAGAGGGAUGGGCAGAGGGGACAUCCAAGUCCUGCCACCCUUCCUGGUCUGUAAAAGCUCUGUGUGGAGAGGAUGAGAAACACACCUGCUGCUUCUAAGGCAGUUCCAUGUCCUUGUAGAUGUGUGGAGCUAAAACAACUUCAGGGGUCUCUGAGAUCAGCCUCUCCAAUCCUACGAGCCCAAUCCAAGUCUGUCAGCAUUCCCAAGGCAGGCACUGAGUGAGCCACACUGUCCAAAACCACGUGCUUGUGGCUCCAGCUCACGCUGCUGAGACUGUGGUUUCAUUUAGUGGGAAAUGCAUUUUGUUUCUCCCGGUGAAAUAUUUUACCCAUUUGAAGGUUUCUACGUGGUGUUCUCUGAUCAAAGCCCUGAGAGCCCUUUGUGCAGCACCUCCAUGGAGUGAGAGGAGGGAUGUCCAUUUCCAAGGCUGUUUUCCGGUAGCCAAGAUAUGUUGCCCACCCUCAGCCAAGCAGCAGUGUAUUUUCACUGGGAGAAUGCCAGCAGGCAACCCAGAUUUAAAAAAAAAAGAAUUUUUCCAAACAUUUCUCCAACAGCUGUAAAUUUUUUCUUAAUGCAAGAUGCUAAUAAAAGCCAGGUUACACCAAACCCACUGCCAGACUAGUGCUACUGGGAGGUGUUUUUAAGCUGCACCAAAGGAAAAAUUUCAACAUCCAACUUGCUCAUUACUUGAAGAAACAGAAGCAUAUCCCUGCCUUUACCCUGUCCUGUGGGAGUUAAGAUCAGAUGUGAAGGCCAUGUGCUGGACUUGGGAAUGUUUGUUCAAUCUCCUGUUCCUUCUCUGCUUUUUCCACUAUGAGUGCUUGCACUCCUGACAUUGCAUUUUGCUGAUCGUAACCACAAGGUUUUGUUUUAUGAGCUGUUAUACCAGGAAAAUGGUA